rnacentral:rRNA from 1 species
UACAGAGGUCCCAAGCGUUGUUCGGAUUCAUUGGGCGUAAAGGGUGCGUAGGCGGCGCGGUAAGUCGGGUGUGAAAUCUCGGGGCUUAACUCCGAAACUGCAUUCGAUACUGCCGUGCUUGAGGACUGGAGAGGAGACUGGAAUUUACGGUGUAGCGGUGAAAUGCGUAGAUAUCAGGAAGAACACCCGUGGCGAAGGCGGCUCUCUGGGACGGUACUGACGCUGAGACGCGAAAGCGUGGGGAGCGAACAGG